GCGAAAGUAGCUCAGUUGAUAGAGCGUCAGCCUUCCAAGCUGAGGGUCGCGGGUUUGAGCCCCGUCUUUCGCUCAA
rnacentral:tRNA from 1 species